AGAAGAAAUCGAGCAAAUACAGAUCCUCUUCCUUACCAAAAGAAAGAAAAGAAAGAAAAGAAAGAAAAGAAAGAAAAGAAAGAAAAGAAAGAAAAGAAAGAAUCACAACGUGAAUCUGGAAAUUUUUCUGGCGGUCAUGUUGAUAGCACCGAUUUCUUUUUUCCGUUUGAUUUACAUCACCCAGCUGUCAAUGAUAAAAAGGAAGAAGAUUCAACUGAAGGAUCACUUUCACCAUCAGAAAUGGGAU
rnacentral:ribozyme from 1 species